CGGCGUUAAUAUCUCCACCCCUCCCUCUCCUCCCCUCACCCCCACAUCCUCCUCCUCCCACGAUCCCCAAAUCCUCCUCCGGAUUUCGCAUUCAGCGCGGCGCAGGUGAGCCUCCCCCAACCUCCCCCUCCCCUUCCUCCUCGCCGGAUCCAGAUCUGAAACCGCCGCGCUCUCAGAUCUCCCUGCCCCCGAUCUCCUCUCGCGCGAAGUCUCCGAUCUCCUCCUCUCCGGGGGUCGCGCGCCGUCGGGGUUCGUGCAGAUCUCCACCCGCGCGACGGAUCGGGGCGUUCGGUUGGAUCGGCUUGGACCCGCGGCGCCGUCUCCUCGGCGCGUCGCGGGCUCGCGAUCCGUUUGUUUUUUUAGGGUUUGUAUGUGUGGAGAUCUGACCCGGGGAAUGAAUGGGUUUGGCGAUCUGCAGGUGGUGAAGGGGGGUAGAGAAGGGGAAGAUGGGGCUCGCGUUCGGGAAGCUCUUCAGCCGGCUCUUCGCCAAGAAGGAGAUGCGGAUCCUCAUGGUGGGGCUCGACGCCGCCGGUAAAACCACCAUCCUCUACAAGCUCAAGCUCGGCGAGAUCGUCACCACCAUCCCCACCAUCGGUGAGCCCCCCACGCGCGCCUCCUCUCUCUUUCCCUUCCCUUGCGCACGUUGAUCGGUUCGGAUCGUGCUGUUCAAUUCGGUUAUCAGGGGGUCGCGCGGUCUAGCACAAUGCCCUGUUAGCGUUUAUAUCUGGUCAAUGGAUCCAUUUCAUGCGUAAAUGAUGGAUCUGCAUGUUUAGAACACAUCGUUCCUAAUAUUUUUGAAUUGAAUUCCAGCAUAUCUGAAUUUACCUGUACACGCAGUUGCACCUGAUUUGAUGCAACACAUGCGAUUUAUGUUGGCCUUUUUGACUGUAAGAUCCGUUUGUUCGUAGUGAGCAUGAUUCAUUGUUUUCUUUAAUGUCAUCGUCACUGAUUCAUGUUUUUUUAUUCAUUAUAAUAGUUUCCUGUCUCCAUGAACUCAUCUCAUUACAAAACAUUGAAAUGCAAGUGAACUGUGUAAUUUUUGAUUUCAUUAUUAUCCAAUUGAAAAUUUUAUUGUCUUCUUAUACCGCCAAAAAAUUAGGAAAGCUCAUUUAGACAUUAUCACGUUGAAGAAGGCAAAUUGAACCCUCUGAAAAACUAGGAAAGAUAGGAAACAAUAAUGUAAUAAUGGCCUCAACACAUGUAAUGCAGGUUUUUGAUGUCGGGAUAUUUAUUUUCUGUUAAUUGAAGGGUUUGAUACAAUAAAACUUGGAUUAAAAAAAAGCAAGCCACGGUCUAUAUGCAACAUUUUAUAGGUUUGAAUAAAAUAAAACAUGGAGGAAAAAAAUGCAAGCGAUGGUCUAUAUUGCUAAUUUCUUAUGCUUAUUCUGUGAUGACAUGACUGGUGUUUAAUGUUUCUAUGUCUUGUGUCUUACAAGAGAGUUGACUUUUAAAAUGCAGGUUUCAAUGUUGAAACUGUUGAGUACAAGAACAUUAGCUUCACCGUCUGGGAUGUCGGGGGUCAGGACAAGGUAUUAUGAUCUACAACAUCAUUUUGCAUUGUACUGCAUACUGCUGUCUUUUAUUUUAUUGUUUUGCCAAGUCCAGCAUUAUUUUUCAUUUGAAAGUAAUUUUCUACGCAGUGAUCUGAUUGUUGGUGAUUUUGUGGUACCAAAUUAGUUUGUAAGAUAUGGAGAUACUGCUUGGUCUAUGGCCUCUCUCUAUCUUACACAGAAGUAUUUGCAUGUUCCUUCAAAUUUUGACUGAAGUGUACACAUUUUUCUGAAAACAGAUCAGACCUCUCUGGAGGCAUUACUUCCAGAACACACAGGGUCUUAUCUUCGUUGUGGACAGCAAUGACCGUGACCGUGUUGUUGAAGCCAGGGAUGAGCUCCACAGGAUGCUGAACGAGGUAAAACAUUUCCCAGGCCAUUUUACCAUGCUGUCUAAGUGCUGCAGAAAGGCAAUUUACGAAUAUCUUAAUGGAUUUGAUGUGGUAUUUGCAUUUUAUUGACAACAAAACCUUUUAGUUAGGAGUAACUGUCAUUUUAACAAAUCACUCUGAGAAGAGUAAUACUAGUUGUUUCUUUAUAUUGUUUUACCUCUUAUUUCAACUUCCAUACAACACUUGUCUGCAAAAUAAGCCAGAGAGGAUCUGGUCCUAUCUUAAAACAAAAAAAAUGGUCAUUUAUUUAUUUUUUGAUUGAUUAGGGAAAUCCCUGUAUCCUCUUUUGAUAUUCUGUCUGGAAAAUAUGUUAGUAGUUCAUUCCAUUUUGCAAAUCCAUUUUGUGGCAGUAUUAAGUGAAAUCCAUUUGGUACUCUGAUGGCAGGAUGAGCUACGUGAUGCUGUGCUGCUUGUUUUUGCCAACAAGCAAGAUCUGCCCAACGCUAUGAAUGCUGCUGAGAUCACUGACAAGCUUGGAUUACACUCCCUGCGCCAGCGACACUGGUAAAUGAUCAAUGAUUAUCUGCUUCAGUACAUUUGCAUCUGUGUAGCUAAUAUUCUGUGACUUCAUAUUGACAUGUGAUCAGCAUUAGGUGUGAAUCACCACUUUCUGUGAAUCCUUUAGUUCUUAUUACUGUGUUCUUGCUUACAGGUACAUCCAGAGCACUUGUGCCACAACUGGCGAGGGUCUGUACGAGGGUCUGGACUGGCUGUCCAGCAACAUUGCUAGCAAGGUAUUCAUACUUUGUGAUUUCCUGUCAGUGAUUCAGUCACAAGUAUACUAUGUGAUCGAUCUGUAGAUAAUCCAUAUGUGUUUAGCCCAUUUUGUUAUGCUACCAGGAGCAAAUAGUCUAUCUGAAAUUCCUGUUCACUGUAUGUUGGCCUAAUACCA
rnacentral:lncRNA from 1 species